rnacentral:rRNA from 1 species
CGGACAGAGCUGGCGUAUCUGGCCUGUAUUCAGCCGCUCGUUGUCGGCCCACCGUUGCUGCACUCCAGAUUGGGAAGGCGGCGUGGGCGCUGGCUGCGUGUGGUGCAUUUGCAGGUGGAGUGCGCUGAGGCGCUCGGCUCAGCGGCAUGAGCUCAGCUUUGAGGCCAACCGUGCAAACGGUCUGGUACCCGGGCUGGGGGAGUGUUGUUUGGGCUGGGUGUUCGCUUGUGGCUGUGGUUUCGGGCCCGGGUGGGUGCCGAGCUGGCGGUCGGUGGCGGUCGCUUGCGACACGUGCCAGCAGUCAGUUCGGUCCUGCUCGAGCUCUCAUUGUGGCCCGGCCUCGGUGUAAAAGCCGGUCAUCUGUCCGACCCGUCUUGAAACACGGACCAAGGAGUUUAGCGUGUGCGCGAGUCAUUGGGCGUUGAAAACCCAAAGGCGCAAUGAAAGUGAAGGUCUGCCUUGUGCAGCUGAUGUGUGAUCCCGGGCGUUGCGGCGCACGGGCGCAACAUAGUCCCGUCCCGACUGCAUGCAGUGGGGCGGAGACAGAGCGUACGCGCUGAG